rnacentral:rRNA from 1 species
GACGAACGCUGGCGGCGUGCUUAACACAUGCAAGUCGAACGAAGAGCGAUGGAAGCUUGCUUCUAUCAAUCUUAGUGGCGAACGGGUGAGUAACGCGUAAUCAACCUGCCCUUCAGAGGGGGACAACAGUUGGAAACGACUGCUAAUACCGCAUACGAUCUAAACUCGGCAUCGAGGAUAGAUGAAAGGUGGCCUCUACAUGUAAGCUAUCACUGAAGGAGGGGAUUGCGUCUGAUUAGCUAGUUGGAGGGGUAACGGCCCACCAAGGCGAUGAUCAGUAGCCGGUCUGAGAGGAUGAACGGCCACAUUGGGACUGAGACACGGCCCAGACUCCUACGGGAGGCAGCAGUGGGGAAUCUUCCGAAAUGGACGAAAGUCUGACGGAGCAACGCCGCGUGAGUGAUGACGGCCUUCGGGUUGUAAAGCUCUGUUAAUCGGGACGAAAGGCCUUCUUGCGAAUAGUGAGAAGGAUUGACGGUACCGGAAUAGAAAGCCACGGCUAACUACGUG